rnacentral:piRNA from 1 species
UAUCACUAUAUUCUGCUCAAUUAGUUGAC